CACAUCACAUACACGUGUCUUGUUCAAAUUGUGUCAAUUGGACACAUAUUUUACUACUAUUCUAAACUAAGUUUAGAUGCGUACGUGACUGCCACGCACUUGUCAAAGCAAAAAAUAACCACGUCAUAGAUGAAAAAAUCAAAGAAGAUCUCCGGCGUAAAAAAAAACACUACCGGCCGGAAUACAUUUUCUUUGUUACCAAAUUAAUGGGAGCUAUACUUAUAUUUAUCUUUCUUGACAUUUCAUCUAUCGAUUGCAAACUAAAACUUAGCUGACCCGAAACUUUGUCCAAAAGUGGGUUAAAAAUCGGAUUUGGGUUGAAAGAAGAAAAAGGAUGCAUGACCGGCCAUUGUCCAAAGAAUGGCAGCUGUACUGCCGAAACGAAUAAAAAGAAGCAACUCUACCUUGAUUUUGGAGAAGGAGAGGCGACGGUGGUCGGAUCUGAAAAAAAGAUGGAUGCAAAAAAUUUAUCACCGGAAAAAUAUUUUUAUUUUUCGGUGAGACACGCUAUGUUUAAAGUUUGAUACAUCGUUCAGGUGUUCAACAAGAACAAGCCUCAAUAUAAGUGUUUAAAUUAAGAAUCGAACAAUUUUAAAAGGCCACAUUCCUACUAUAUAGAAGAGCGCAGAAGCAGCUCUCCGUCGGCAUCCCUGCUUGCCGACGGAUGGCAAUUUGGUAUUUGCAAUGCUCCUAUAUUAGAAUCUUGUUCACAUUGUGGACUUUUGAGCCAUGAUUGCUGAAAGAAGUGAGAUGGAGGAGAAAUGAGCGACGUCUAAGCUAUAUCAGACACCGCUAAUGGUGCAACAAUUAUUAAAAAGACGAUAUUGCAUCAACAAAGGAUUUGACCUUAGUAGAUGCACUGUCUCUUUUUUAACAAUGGUUAUAUGCUAUCAAAGAAUUGGUUUAUCUGCUGAUCAGUAUUGUUUAAAUAAUGUUGAAUUUAAUAUAUGAUGUUAAGCUUACAAGAGUUGGCGGAUUAAUUGACGCUAGAACUGUACGUUGUUGAACUUUGUAAUGUGUAGUCCACUCAUACAAGUCACUUGCUUCAAAACGUACUCUUUCCCAAGGGCACUUUUUAGCUAUAACAAGUACAUAGUUGAGUUUGAUGAAUUUGUGAGGUUGUGGUGCAUUGUCUUUGGUAGAUAUGAUCUGACUUUAGAAUAUCAUUGAUAUAUGACAAGACACUCAAUUGCUAUAAACUACUCUUUGCAGAUAAGCAGGUCGAUUAAAGCUUUCCAGGCGCUGGUCUGGCUAAGAUAUUGAUUUGUUAUAUUUUCAGGUGUAGACGAGUUGAUGUACAACUGUCGAAUUGGUGUGGCAGCAAAGGAUAACCCAAUUUGGAACUUAAGAAUAAAAAAGUUGAAAUAUGCUCUUGAGCUACUUGUAAAAUUAUUUUGCUUAAAAGAUUUUGUGCUUUUCUUAGCUUGAGUUUUAUGAGUACAUUAGUAGUAUGUGAAAUAUCUAGCUUUUUAAUAGUACAACAAUAGAAGUCAUUUAUUGUGCAGCCACGACACUAUUUGCUCUCAAAUCUAGCUGGAAUAACUUGCCACCAAAUUGGGAGGGUUCAGAUCCUUGCGGUAGAAGCUGGGAAGGAAUUGUCUGUAAAGAUUCACACAUAACCUCAAUGAAUAUCCUUGAUAUUUGAAAUUUCUGACUGUUCUGUAGUUGGCUCUACCUUCCGUUCCUCAUUAUUUUCUUUAAUUUUUCAUCCAUAUAUAGUUAUCAGGCAUGGGCUUGAAAGGCAACCAGUUUAGACAUCUUUCAUCACUAACUACAUUGGAAAUUUUGUAUGUUUUUGUUUAUAUUUUUUCUAUCUUGACUCUUCAGAUAUUGAUGAUAAGAUUCUGAAAUCAUCUUUAGUUUACCUAUAAUUCUUUCUCCAACCCUCAUCUGAGGCACAAUUGUAGUUUCAAAUAAAAAUCAUUAAGAAUGCCGUAAACAGUGCUAAAAAAUAAACAAGUUCAAUAUUCAUGUCUUUCUCUUUGCUAUUGUUUAAUUCUGGCCUCAUCCGUUCCUCAUCCCAAACUGAUUUUUAGAAGUAUUUUUAAGGAGUAUACACAUCAUCAUAUAUGAAAGAUAAAUCUUUUUUCUCAACUAAAAGGAAUAAGUUCUGUCAUUUGGAUUAGAAGAUAUCCGCUGCUUGAACAUCUUUAAUUAGUUUCUAACACUCCUCUUACCCAAAGUUAUAUAUUCAAACGGUUUAUCACUUUACUUUAUUUUAUUGUAACGAAUUUGGAGUAGGGAUUUCUCGAAUAAUGUUGGACCGAAAGGAACUCUUCCAUCAUCAAUUAGAAAUUUGAAGCAUUUAACCUUGUAAGAGAAUUUAAAUGGUGAUCAAGUAUACAGAAUUUGUAGUGUCAAUUCUGACUUCAGAAGCUAGUCAUUUUAUGCAGAAUCUUAGUUGGUUGCAGCUUCUUUGGUCCAAUUCCAAAAUCAAUUGGUUCUCUGCAACAGCUGGUCUUUAUGUAAGGAUUUACAUUUACACUUUAUCCAUUUGUUCACCUGAAGUUUAUCAUUAAUUGCUUCCUUUUUAUUCAUCUGGAUUUCAAUAGUACAUUUCUUCUAAGUCAGACUUUCGCAACUGAGUUAUUAUUCAUGCAGUUAAGAACAACUUUGGUCACAAACCUCUUUUUAUUUUUUGCUUUUCCUAUCAUUGUUGAUAUACUUUUGCCCAAAACAUAUUAGGUUCCAUUCAUGAAAAAGGUGAAUUGAACCUUAUUGAGAUUGGCUUUACUUCAAUAACAAAAAGUUACCUAUCAAUGGUGGGUUAUAGAGCAGAGAUUAAUACAAAUACUAUACUGCAAUAUUUGACAUUCUUUAAUAUGCCUUCGGGUGCCUUGUGAAAAUAAACUUUUAAGAUAAAAACAAGUAUGCUAUUAAUAUCAUGUCUUCGUAAAACUCAAAGGAGUAAAUCUUCCACUCCUAAUCAAAGGUAUUGAAAAUCGAGUACUCAAUAUUAUAUUUUAAAAUUUUAAAUUUUCACAAACAAUUGUAUGUUUGAUAAUACGUUAUGGUGUUUAUAUGUCUUUGAAGGUAUCAUAAAACCUCUCUUAUGUUGUUUGUUGCUUGCUUUUGUUUCUGGUAUAACAAGAGUGACUACUGAGUUGGGCACUGUAGGUGAUACUCAAAAGGGAAGACAUGUUGCUUUGCUUGAAGAUACACAUUUUCUUUAUUUUUGGGGUAUUGCAUCAAUAAUACCUGGUUGUAAUCACUACUUAUGGUUGACUGGAUAGCAGUAGCGUUGUAGAUUCUAUUUAUUUCAUCUGUUGCAGAUAUUGUACGUUCAUGUAUCGAAAAG